AUUGAGAAUACAGAGCUGCACCUCUCGAAAUAGAAAACCAUCCCAUACCUGAUAGUCAACUCAAUCAUCAACCUGGACCUCCAGUAGAAUGAUAGCAAAGUUUGGAUUGCUAGCAUAGAGGUCCCUCAAAGCAUCAAAGCCAACCACCUCCACUUGAAGAACACCUAGAAGCUUGGCUGUCCUACUCAGUGCAUUCGCCACUCAAUUCUAAGCACCAAACUUAUGCUUCAGAAUAAAGUAAAACUCCUGUAAGUAGUUCACUCACUUGAUAUACCUGUGGUUCAGCUUUUUCUGACCAUUGAUAUACUUUAGGGUCUCAUGGUUAAUGUAGAGAAUGAACUCUCUUUGGACUAAAUAGUACCGCCAU
rnacentral:lncRNA from 1 species